ACGCUCGACACCUACUGGAGGCAGCAGUCGGGAAUAUUGCGCAAUGGAGGAAACUCUGACGCAGUGACGCCGCGUAUAGGAAGAAGGUUUUCGGAUUGUAAACUAUUGUCGUUAGGGAAGAAAAAGGACAGUACCUAAGGAGGAAGCUCCGGCUAACUACGUGCAAGCAGCCGCGGUAAUCUGAGCGGGCUGGCAAGGC
rnacentral:rRNA from 1 species